rnacentral:lncRNA from 1 species
CAUUUACAACAUCAUUAAAUAUUUUUGUGUUUUAAGUAUACUUUCUGAAUGAGUAUGCAGUUUUACAAAUGGCCUAUCAAAUAAUAUAAAUAUUUCCCAGUACACUAUAUAUUUGAUAACUGGUAACAUCGGCAUUUAAAAGUGUACCAGUAUUAGUGCUGUGGAUUAUGUUCUUUAAAUAAAUGUUUUUCUUUGUGGUCAUAUUUUUCUUUUAAUUAGCACUAAUGAACCCAUGGAUCUGACUUUAUUUCUGCAAUUGAUAAAAGUUCCUCCAUUUAAUUUCAGCGCCGAUCUGUUCCUUUGGUGCAAAACUACAGAUUAAAAUAAGCCAUUUGUACUAACUAUAGUUAUUUCUAUAAAAUGGUAUAAUUUAUUCCUUAAUCACAUCAUCAUCCCACGGGAUUGCAUUCAGGGCAUGGAUGUUAUGGACGCACCCUACUUCCCUGUCCCCUGAUUUUCAUCUGCCUCUGUAGGACUCACCUAUGUAGAUACCUCAGUAGCACAGGAAGAAGAGGGGCUGAAGCAGGAGAGAUGGGAAAACAGGAUAUGGGGCUUUGUGUAGAAAACUACACACCCAUGGAAGGUGAGGGGUACUAUUGUUAAUCUACAUCCUGAAGGCUGUAGCUGCUGUUAAGGACAAUGUGUAUGUUUAGUCCGCACGUUAGAUGGAAUCUGAAGAGCAAAAAUCUAUACAAACUCAAAAGCAAAAGUGAGUGUAUAAGUAGGAAAUAUUUUUUGUAAGUCUUUCAGAACUAUGUUCUGUUAUGAUCUCUUCUAGGAUUUUGCCUCAUUAUAGAAUGCAUUAAAGUAAGUUGUCACAUAUACAAGACCAUCCCCUGUCAAAAACUUUGUCCCAUAUGAGAAAAAACAUAAUGCAAUUUGCCAGUUAUUUACCCUUUACACUAACUGUAACAUAGGGAUCGAUGCACUGUCCAGCAUCUUUCAGACCAAUUUUCUCAAUCCUGAUAGUGAGUAAUGUCAUUCCCGGUUCUGAUGGCAACCUUGGUAAUAAAGUACCUGGCAACAGAGAAACCUCAAUAAAAGUUAGCUCCACCAAUAAUUCAGAGUAAAUACUUUGACAAACAGAAGAUAUAGCCUACCUCUUAAGAACUAGCUAGGCAUUAUGUAUUUUUAUUUCCAAAAUUCAUGAACAUCUGAUGUUAUACUUUUUUAGAAAAAUAUUUAAUUUUACACAUAAUAUAUCUGCAUUUCCCAAGCAUACAAUCACCUUUAAGCAGAAAAUAAUAAUUUCUAUAAUAAUAGUGUAUAGUAUGUAUAAUAAAAGUUUGUUAAAACAUCACUUGAGGAAGACCAAUUAUACAUAAUAGUAUAAUACGCUCACAUAAUAUUUAUAUUCCAUAUGUACUUCUAUAUUAUACUCAGCAUCUUAAUAUGAAGUGGUAGAACAAAGACAAGAAAAGCUUUUAAAAUACUUGUUAUACUGUCCUAAAUCUGAGACAUUUAAUAUCAGAGUUGAUCAAUACAUUCUUUCCUUUAGUUACUCCUAAUAAAGAAAAUAAUUUACAAUUUGAUAUUUAUGUUUCAAUUUAACUAUAUAGUCUAACUUCUAUUCUUCAUUCUAUUUUGUAUGAUUUAUUCUCUCAGAAAUUAGUACUAUACAGACUGCCAUAUAAAAGGGCCAUUUGUAUAACUGAAAAUUUUCCCCAAAACCAACUAAAAAUUUUAAAACUAAAAACCCACCCAGAACAACAUGACAACAUUCACCCACCAAGAACAUAUGAAGGAAGAAAUCAACUGUUCAGUAUGUUCCCUUUUUUGAAACUACCAAUAGAGAACAGAUGCAAAUAAGCUGAUUUUAAUCAAGUAUGUAUACAGAACCUCAAAAUACACUUAACAAAAGAUUUUGGUUGAUGUUUUUCAAGUUUCUAUUCAACAAUGUGUUAUGCUACUUUUAAUGAUGAGUUAUUUGAAAUACAUGAAGCAAUCAACACACUACAUUUGAAAAUACACAUUUGAUUGAUGGCAAAUAUGGCUUGAGGAAAUUUUGGGAGGUGAUGGGAAUGUUCUGAACUUGUGUAGGGAUGACAGAUGCAAAACUCUAUAGAGGUGUCAAAAAAUCAAUGAAUUUUAUACUUACAGAAGGGAAAUGUUAUGAUAUGCAAAUUAUACCUCAACAGUGCUGUUAAAAAUGUAUUACUUUUAAUUUAAACAAAUAUGAAGACAAUACAGACAAAUGCAAGAAUGGGAAGGCCUGGAGGCUGCAUUCCACUGUUGCAUUAACAAACCUAAAUGGGCUCAGGCUGAUAUCAUUAAAUAUAUACAUAAUACCUUUUAUGCAUCUUCUUUGAUUGACAAAUUAGGGUACUUUUAGAAGAGGGGCUUGUACCUGGACAUCUGGGAUGAACUUCAGAGAGUUAAGAAACACCUCUGAAAUUUUAUGAAAAAUGUGAAUAUGUAUACAUUUAUAUUUAUAUACAUACAUAUUCACAUGUAUGUAUAUCAUAUAUGAAUUUUUCUGCAGAAAAGUUCAUUGUAUUAAGUAGUACAUGGCUGUAUAAAUAUGCUACAGUUUAUGUACACAUUCUUGUGUUGAUAGAUAUUUGAAUUACUUCAAGUGUUUGGAUAUAGUUAACAAGGCUAUUAUAAAUACUCUUCUGAACAUCUUCUGGUGCCCAUAAGCACCCAUUUCUGAAACAGAGGAAUCACUAAGUCACCUGGCAUGUUACCUCCAUACCUACUAUGUAACGACAAUCCAUUUCCCAAGGUGGUUGUGCCAAUUUUUUUUCCUAGCCCAAGUGCAGUAGUGUUCCCAUUGCUCCACAUCCUCACUAGGUACUGUUUUCUCAGAUUCUUCAUGUUAGCCAAUUUUGGUAUAAAGAGAUCAAUCAUUUUAAUCUGCAUUCCUCUGAAGAUUAAUAAGGUUGAGCACCUUUUUGAAUAAAUCAAAUAUAUGAUUUCCUCUUUUCUGAAGUGUGUUCAAUUAUUUUGCUCGAUUUUUUAUUGAGAUGUCUAUCUUAUUGAGCUGUAGGAGGUCUCUAUUAUUUUGCUGGACAAAUGUUUUACAAGUAGCUUCUUAGCAGUUUUCCUUUAUAAAGACUUUUUGUUGAAGUAGAGCAUAUACAUUUUAAAAUGUACAAAUUGGAGAUCCGGGCUGACUGAUCCAUGCGGCCCGCCACACGGCUACAGACGGCGGGGCACCACCAAGAAGCGACCAGCAAGCAGGGAGAAACGUUGCUGCAGAUUCUGUGGAAUCCUGCCGGCUGAGCCCCCACUAAGCCCCGGGCUGAGUUCCGGAUUUCAGACGGGGAAGGAAGUGGUACAGUUCUAUCCCCCACAACGGAAACUCCACCAAGCUGGGAAUGGAUCCACCAUUUGACCCAGCUAUCGCCCUUCUCGGACUACUCCCUGAGGAUCUUAAAAGAGCGUACUAUAGGGAUACUGCCACAUCAGUGAUCAUAGCGGCACAAUUCACAAUAGCUAGACUGUGGAACCAACCUAGAUGUCCUUCAAUAGAUGAAUGGAUAAAAAAAAUGUGGCAUUUAUACACAAUGGAGUAUUACUCUGCACUAAAAAAUGACAAAAUCGUGGCAUUUGCAGGGAAAUGGAUGGCAUUAGAGCAGAUUAUGCUAAGUGAAGCUAGCCAAUCCCUAAAAAAAUAAAUGCCAAAUGUCUUCUUUGAUAUAAGGAGGGCAACUCAGAACAGAGCAGGGAGGAAGAGCAUGAGAAGAAGAUUACCAUUAAAC